rnacentral:rRNA from 1 species
CCUACGGGAGGCAGCAGUGGGGAAUUUUGGACAAUGGGCGCAAGCCUGAUCCAGCAAUGCCGCGUGAGUGAAGAAGGCCUUCGGGUUGUAAAGCUCUUUUGUCAGGGAAGAAACGGUGGGGGCUAAUAUCUCCUGCUAAUGACGGUACCUGAAGAAUAAGCACCGGCUAACUACGUGCCAGCAGCCGCGGUAAUACGUAGGGUGCAAGCGUUAAUCGGAAUUACUGGGCGUAAAGCGUGCGCAGGCGGUUUUGUAAGUUUGUCGUGAAAUCCCCGGGCUCAACCUGGGAAUGGCGAUGAAGACUGCAAGGCUAGAAUCUGGCAGAGGGGGGUAGAAUUCCACGUGUAGCAGUGAAAUGCGUAGAGAUGUGGAGGAACACCGAUGGCGAAGGCAGCCCCCUGGGUCAAGAUUGACGCUCAUGCACGAAAGCGUGGGGAGCAAACAGGAUUAGAUACCCUGGUAGUCCACGCCCUAAACGAUGUCUACUAGUUGUCGGGUUUUAAUUAACUUGGUAACGCAGCUAACGCGUGAAGUAGACCGCCUGGGGAGUACGGUCGCAAGAUUAAAACUCAAAUGAAUUGACGG